CCCGGGAGGGAGGCGGCCCCGUGAGCACCCGGUGAGAUGGGUCCACUCAGGGAAGGCCCCUCAGCCGCCGUCGCAUCGCUCCUCGCUGGCUGUGCAAGAGGGGUCGCCGCUGCUCCAGCUCCUGCCGGGCACGGAGCGGCAGCGAAGUUUCGCGGUCAGUUCUUGCGCGGCGCGGUCAAGAUGGCUGAGGCGUCCCACGGACCAGGCGGUGCGCCCCGCGGCGCCGGGCUCCCACCGACUCGAGCGGACGGGCAGCAGCUGGGCCGUUGCUGAGGCGGCCGGAGCGGCUCCUCCUGCCGUCCGCGUAUCGCCCGGCUCUGCAGGCGACCGCCAGCCAGUCGGUCUUCACUCUCACUCUGCGUCUAUCUCCUUUCUCCGCCGAUGGAGAGAAGCUGAUCACUCCUGGCCGCGAUCACGCCACCUGAUCCGCGGGACGAACGCGGCAGCAGCUCCACUCAACUUGCGUCUCUCCGGCCCCGGUAGCGCCACUCCGGCCGCCGCGCUCUCAUGAAUAUUUAUAGCAAGCACCGCCGGGCCCCGCCUCCCUGCCUCGGCCGCCUAUCAGUCGGGACCGGGCGGGUGGCGGGGGGGUGUCCCCAGGCCCUCCUUAAGGUGGAGCUGGCACCCCGAGUGCGGCGUGGUGGGCGCUCCGCGGGGCCCCGACUCCGUGGAAAAGCUACAUGCUUUAGCAGAAUUCCAGAGACUGGAUGGCUUUGUCUGAAAACUGCAACUUGCUGUUUUGAAAAGUGUUACUGUAGUAUUCCUCUGAAAUUAUAAUUUGGAUGCCUGCUGGUCCUAUUCUGCAAGGCUGAAGCUGCCUACCACCUUUUACGCUGUGCCGUGAUCUUUCCUCUUUGAAGGGAGUGCUGGAAGUAGGGAAUACCUCAAAGUUAUCUGUUAUCAGCGUUGUCACUUAAAUGGUAAGUCUAGUUAAUAGAGGAAAUCUGCCACAUAAAGCAGGUAACCCACAGAUUUAGUGAGAUGCUACACUGGCAUUUCUUAAUAACAUUUUUUUGUUUUCAAUCAAAAUAUUUGGUUUGUAAGUUUGGCUUUUUGGUAAGGAAAUUAUAUUUGCAGAAGCACAUACUUAGGCAUGCCAAGAAAAAAAAAUUGCAACCAAAAAGUGUUUAGCUGAAAGCCUCAUUUCCCAUCGAAAAUAGAUGCAGUGGAAAAUUUUCAAGCAGCCCUAUAUUUAACCUUCUUGGAUCAAAAUUCAGUUUUUGGACUGAGGGAGGCUCACAGAGGUUUCUUGCUGCUUUUGUUAGGAUGUCUGUUUUUUCACUCAUGACAUCUGCCUGCUUUUCCAGCUAUAUUCAACCUUGUUAUAAUUCUUGCUUUUGCAGCAUUUUACUGUUCUCAGAAUGCUAGUUCCCACUGGACACAACUUGCUGGGAUAUGUGCAAACUCUUUCAAGGGGUGCAUCAAUCUUGCUUUUUUUUAUUUUGGCUGAGUUUUAAUAAGCAAAUGUUAGUAGCUCUAUCCACGGAACACUGAAUAUGCACAAAACAUAGCAUCGCUGUGAUACAGUUCUCCAUUCUUUUUCCAAGGUAGCCUUGCUUUUUGGGGAUGUUGUGGAUGCAAACAGUAUACAUGAGUUUAAGGGGUAAUGAGCUAAGUGCUUGAAAAGGAAGACCCGUUGGGCAGUCUAAACAGAUAAAUCACAUCAGUCUGAGGAAUCCCUGAGUUGAAUAUAGUGGGAGGCUGGGGAGUUAUUCUGGGAAAAUACUAUGUUUGAUUUCUUUGCUCAUGCUCUCUUCUUUUGACUCUGACUUGUGACUGCUUUUGGAAACAGGAUACUGAGCUAAGCAGACUUUUGAUCUGAAUUGGCAUAGCCAUCCUUGGGUAAGGAGAAGUAGACUGAUAGAUGAGUAGGUAUGGGCUUUGGCAGUCUAGAAUUCAGCAAUUAAUUUCUGAUAAGUAAAAUUCCUUCCUCCAAGAAAAGUGUAAGCUAGUCAUAAAAGAUACAAGCAUGGGUGUAAAGAAUUGCAUCUGAAUAAGUUGUGAUUUUGGAGUCUCAAGCUUUCUGUUGAUUUUGUUUUGUUGGGUUUUGUUGUUCUGGGUUUUUUUUUGUUGUUUGGGUUUUGUUUGGUUGUUUUGUGUUGUUUGUUGGGGUGUUCGGUUGUUUUUUUUGUUUUUUACAGCUCCCAUUUCUCUUUAAUUUCUUCAUGUAGCAGUAAGAAUUUGCUACAAAUGUGUCUUAACUAUAACUGUGAGCCUUUUUGGGUGUUCUUCCAAAUUAUGAGGGUAGAACAUUAGUGUAAGACUCCUGCAGUAUUCACUGGGCUUUGUAUUAAGACAAGAAGAGAAAACAAAGUGAAGAGUAAAAUUCAGGGAGGAAAAUUGUUAAUAUGACCUACAUUAGUUUUAGUAUGUGUUAUGUUCUGUCAUUAGUUCAGUGUUAGAAUGCAGCUUGUAGCCAGAUUCUAUCAGCAACUGGCAGCAUGUGGUGUUUCUUAAGCAAAAGUUGACUGUUAUUCUUUAUUACUUGUUUGCAUCCCAGUUCUUUUACAGAAAUACCUUUCCAGACAUUUUUAACUUUGUUUUCAUGGCAGUUUAAUAUUGCUUCAUGACCGCUAAGCAGUACUAUGCUUUUUUAGCCUUCACAGGCAUUAAUGAUUAAAUCCAUAAAUGAUCAUGUGCUUAGUUUUUAAGACAGCAGCUGAUUUUUUUCUAUAUUUUUAAUAAAUUCUUCAGAAGUGUUAUGAUUACCUCA
rnacentral:lncRNA from 14 species